AGAAAGUUCCUCUAAAUUAACCGCUAGCUCAUCUCUUGUCUGCCAAAUAUUCUUUGGCUUUUCGGAUCUUUAAAACCUUCUUCAAAAUUUCUGCUCUUCCACCAGGAAAGCUCGAACAACCGUCUUUCUCACUGCUCCUCCAGAGAAGGGGUUUGACGACACUAUUGGUUCGAUUUGGUAGCAUAGCUGUAAGUAAAACUCUCUCUCUCUCUCUAGACUGAGGCUCAAAUGUAUCAUACUAUUGGUUUUGACUAGUAACGAAACUAACCAGAUUCUUAACGGGUACAUGCAUGCAGUGCAGCAAAUUAAGACAGACACUAUCUGAAGCUAUGACGUGGCUGAUUGUUAUAACCGUUUGGUUAACUGUCUUAACGGGUACUGGAGAAAGCCAACAACCUGGUGCAAUAGUUGCACACGAUGGAUCAGGAGAUUUUACUACUAUAAUGUUGAAAUUAGUGCACGUUUUUUAUUGAUUAGUUGAAUGAGUCAUUAGUUAGCAUGUUAGUUAGUCACUUGUUAAGUGGAAUAAGUUUGUUAGUUUUUUACGUGGUUAGCAGUAGCUAAAUGUUAGGAGUUAU
rnacentral:lncRNA from 1 species